GAUGAACGCUGGCGGCGUGCCUAAUUCAUGCAAGUCGAGCGAACAGACGAGGAGCUUGCUCCUUCGACGUUAGCGGCGGACGGGUGAGUAACACGUAGGUAACCUACCUAUAAGACUGGGAUAACUUCGGGAAACCGGAGCUAAUACCGGAUAAUAUUUCGAACCGCAUGGUUCGAUAGUGAAAGAUGGCUUUGCUAUCACUUAUAGAUGGACCUGCGCCGUAUUAGCUAGUUGGUAAGGUAACGGCUUACCAAGGCAACGAUACGUAGCCGACCUGAGAGGGUGAUCGGCCACACUGGAACUGAGACACGGUCCAGACUCCUACGGGAGGCAGCAGUAGGGAAUCUUCCGCAAUGGGCGGAAGCCUGACGGAGCAACGCCGCGUGAGUGAUGAAGGUCUUCGGAUCGUAAAACUCUGUUAUUAGGGAAGAACAAACGUGUAAGUAACUGUGCACGUCUUGACGGUACCUAAUCAGAAAGCCACGGCUAACUACGUG
rnacentral:rRNA from 1 species